ACGGGAAUGGCGGAACUGGCAGACGCACUUGACUUAGACUCAAGAUAUUGAGGGUUCGACUCCCUUUUCCUGUA
rnacentral:tRNA from 3 species